rnacentral:pre_miRNA from 1 species
UACUAAAAAUUAUAUCCAUUUGUACUAUUAAAAACUAGCAAAGUUGACAAAACAACCAAACAAUGACAUAUAGCGUGCCAUGUGCACCUCAAGCUGAUGUACAUGAAUCGGUUUUUUAACUAUAGAAAUAAAUAAAAUUUUUAACA